GAUGAACGCUGGCGGCGUGCCUAAUACAUACAAGUCGAGCGAACAGACGAGGAGCUUGCUCCUCUGACGUUAGCGGCGGACGGGUGAGUAACACGUGGAUAACCUACCUAUAAGACUGGGAUAACUUCGGGAAACCGGAGCUAAUACCGGAUAAUAUAUUGAACCGCAUGGUUCAAUAGUGAAAGACGGUUUUGCUGUCACUUAUAGAUGGAUCCGCGCCGCAUUUGCUAGUUGGUAAGGUAACGGCUUACCAAGGCAACGAUGCGUAGCCGACCUGAGAGGGUGAUCGGCCACACUGGAACUGAGACACGGUCCAGACUCCUACGGGAGGCAGCAGUAGGGAAUCUUCCGCAAUGGGCGAAAGCUUGACGGAGCAACGCCGCGUGAGUGAUGAAGGUCUUCGGAUCGUAAAACUCUGUUAUUAGGGAAGAACAAAUGUGUAAGUAACUAUGCACGUCUUGACGGUACCUAAUCAGAAAGCCACGGCUAACUACGUG
rnacentral:rRNA from 1 species